UACAGAGGGUGCAAGCGUUAAUCGGAAUUACUGGGCGUAAAGCGUGCGCAGGCGGUGAUGUAAGACCGAUGUGAAAUCCCCGGGCUUAACCUGGGAACUGCAUUGGUGACUGCAUUGCUGGAGUAUGGCAGAGGGGGGGUGGAAUUCCACGUGUAGCAGUGAAAUGCGUAGAGAUGUGGAGGAACACCGAUGGCGAAGGCAGCCCCCCUGGGCCAAUACUGACGCUCAUGCACGAAAGCGUGGGGAGCAAACAGG
rnacentral:rRNA from 1 species